CGCAGCUGGGCCACUACUGACAGAUUCUCAGCAAGAAAGGAGGAGCAGUAGGACACAAAAUCAAAAACUUUAUGGCUGUUAUUUGACAAGAACGACUACAUUGCAACAAGAAGAUCUUGUAGCCUCCAAGCACUACCUUUGUAUCUCAACGAAGACCCUGAAAAGCUAGUGAAAGAGUACGGAAGUGAGAACCCUGAUGAAACCCAGGCAGAUUUGGAUCAGAUGGUCAUCGGCACCUAUGUGAUUAAACACCCAGGUGAAGAUGUUGAUCAGUCCCCAGAAGAUGUUGGCAUCAUAGUUGAAGGUGUGCAGGUGCUCAAUGAACUCAAAGAUGUCACUACUUCUUGUGCCUUACUGUUUGGGAUCAUCUACGACCUGAACCUGAGCAUUCUGACCUCAGGUACACUUUUAAAUUCAUCCAAAAGAUCCUGAUGGAACUUGAUACACACAGACUUUUAAACAAAAUCCAGGUACUCAAAAAUAAACUGCUGGAAUAAUGCAUGAAACCAUUAUGGGGGCUGUUCAGUGUGCUGAAAAGAUUUUGUUAUCCUGUUAACUUGAGCAGUAGUUUGGGUUGUCUGUUAACCUUUUUUUAUUUCUUACGUUACUGUUUCACCUUGAAGGUUACAAGUUUCAAAUUGAAAUCUAAGGUAGUAGUAUCAACCUACUGACCUGAGACCAUACGACUCUGUUAAGAGUUUACGUUGGGCAGCAGACAAAACAUUGUUUUGAGGUUUAUUCUUUUUUUUUUCUUUUUUUUCUCAUGUGUCAGAUUGUUGUUACAGCACUUUCAGUUGUAUUAAGAUACCUCAUUGUAGCCACUUAGCUGUAAUGGGUAAAAAAAAUUCUCCUACAAAGACGCUUUACCAUAGUGUGGAUGUUCUGCUGCUAUUUGAACUAGUUGAAGCUUGUGUGGAGCUAAGAGCUCUGAAAAGGUUAUUGAAAGUUUAAAAAAUAC